UGGUGGAGUGAUUUGUCUGGUUAAUUCCGUUAACGAACGAGACCUCGACCUGCUAAAUAGUUCGCUUCACGCUCCGGCGUGGAGACAGUGACUUCUUAGAGGGACUGACGGUGUGUAGCCGUCGGAAGUUCGAGGCAAUAACA
rnacentral:rRNA from 1 species